rnacentral:sRNA from 1 species
AGCUGUUCCCCUCUGGAGGUUUUUGACCUUCACACUUAAAAGGGCCCUGGUUUUCCAGCGGCCCUCUUUUUUUGCCUUG